rnacentral:lncRNA from 1 species
CCCGUCUCUACUGAAAAUACAAAAAUUAGCCAAGCAUGGUGGCAUGCGCCUGUCAUCCCACUCAAGAGGCUGAGACAGGAGAAUUGCUUGAACCUGGGAGGCAGAGGUUGCAAUGAGCCCAGAUCGCGCCAUUGCACUCUAGCCUGCGCAACAAAAGUGAAACUCCACCUCAAAAAACAAAAACAAAAACAAAAACAAAAAAACCCAAAAACGCUGGGCUUGGUGGCUCAUGGCCUGUAAUCCCAGCACUUUGGGAGGCUGGCCUCAAACUCCUGACCUCAGGCGAUCUGCCCUCCUCGGGCUUCCAAAGUGCUGGGAUUAUAGGUGUGAGCCACUGCACCCCGCCAAUCCAGCAAGUUUUAACUUGGCCAAAAUCCACCAAUCUUAAACUUUGUGCACCCUUCCCACUCUGAAGAACAGUGAGCCAGCCGGCCAGGGUGCGGGUAUCUCCUACCUACCCUGGGGCCCCUCACUGUAUGUUGACUAUUGACAAAUAUUUAUUGUGUGCUGGCUGUGAAUAGGACUUGUAUAUUGAGCACUUAGGUGUCAUGAACCAUGCUGGAUGUUUUGACCAUAUUAUCCCCUUUAAUUCUCACGACCCAACUCUGUGGGGCACUUUUACAGCUGGGAAACUGAGGGUUCAAGGGGUUAGGUAUGGGACUUGCCCAAGGUCAUAAAGGUAUGUGGUAGCCAGAGUCCCUGUUCGGCACAGACCUGUUCUUUGCUGUCCUGGCCAGUGUUCCAGGCCUUGGGGACAUAGCUGGGGCUGAAGCAGGGCUGUUUCUGCCCUCAGGCAGUUUACAUCCUGGCAGAGGGGAGAGCUGGGCAACAGUGAGUUGCACAGACUUGUCUUAUUACCGCUGUGGUAUGUGCAGGAAGGGGAGGUGCUGGUUCUGAGGCUCCAGAGGGCUUGUCUUUUUUUUUUUUUUUUUGAGACGGAGUCUCGCUUUGUUGCCCAGGCUAGAGUCCAGUGGCGCGAUCUCGGCUCAGUGCAAGCUCCGCCUCCCGGGUUCAAGCGAUUCUCCUGCCUCAGCCUCCCCAAUAGCUGGGAUUACAGGCGCAUGGCACCACGCACGGCUAAUUUUGGUAUUUUUAGUAGAGACUGGG